rnacentral:rRNA from 1 species
GAUGAACGCUGGCGGCGUGCCUAAUACAUGCAAGUCGAGCGAACAGACGAGGAGCUUGCUCCUCUGACGUUAGCGGCGGACGGGUGAGUAACACGUGGAUAACCUACCUAUAAGACUGGGAUAACUUCGGGAAACCGGAGCUAAUACCGGAUAAUAUAUUGAACCGCAUGGUUCAAUAGUGAAAGACGGUUUUGCUGUCACUUAUAGAUGGAUCCGCGCCGCAUUAGCUAGUUGGUAAGGUAACGGCUUACCAAGGCGACGAUGCGUAGCCGACCUGAGAGGGUGAUCGGCCACACUGGAACUGAGACACGGUCCAGACUCCUACGGGUGGCAGCAGUAGGGAAUCUUCCGCAAUGGGCGAAAGCCUGACGGAGCAACGCCGCGUGAGUGAUGAAGGUCUUCGGAUCGUAAAACUCUGUUAUUAGGGAAGAACAAAUGUGUAAGUAACUAUGCACGUCUUGACGGUACCUAAUCAGAAAGCCACGGCUAACUACGUG